AGUGAACGCUGGCGGUAGGCCUAACACAUGCAAGUCGAACGGCAGCACAGUAAGAGCUUGCUCUUACGGGUGGCGAGUGGCGGACGGGUGAGGAAUACAUCGGAAUCUACUUUUUCGUGGGGGAUAACGUAGGGAAACUUACGCUAAUACCGCAUACGACCUACGGGUGAAAGCAGGGGAUCUUCGCACCUUGCGCGAUUGAAUGAGCCGAUGUCGGAUUAGCUAGUUGGCGGGGUAAAGGCCCACCAAGGCGACGAUCCGUAGCUGGUCUGAGAGGAUGAUCAGCCACACUGGAACUGAGACACGGUCCAGUCUCCUACGGGAGGCAGCAGUGGGGAAUAUUGGACAAUGGGCGCAAGCCUGAUCCAGCAAUACCGCGUGGGUGAAGAAGGCCUUCGGGUUGUAAAGCCCUUUUGUUGGGAAAGAAAAGAAGCAGGUUAAUACCCCGAUGUUCUGACGGUACCCAAAGAAUAAGCACCGGCUAACUUCGUG
rnacentral:rRNA from 1 species